rnacentral:rRNA from 1 species
GUAGGGUCCAAGCGUUGUCCGGAUUUACUGGGCGUAAAGAGCGCGUAGGCGGCUCGUUAAGUGUGGUGUGAAAUCUCCAGGGCUCAACCCGGAAACUGCACCGCAUACUGGCGAGCUUGAGGAAUGCAGAGGCAGCUGGAAUUCCUGGUGUAGCGGUGAAAUGCGUUGAUAUCAGGAGGAACACCCAUGGCGAAGGCAGGCUGCUGGGCAUUAUCUGACGCUGAGGCGCGAAAGCGUGGGUAGCAAACAGGAUUAGAUACCCUGGUAGUCCACGCCCUAAACGAUGGAUACUAGACGUAAGAGGUAUCGACCCCUCUUGUGUCGCAGCUAACGCACUAAGUAUCCCGCCUGGGGAGUACGGCCGCAAGGUUGAA